GCUGGCAACUAAGGGGGAAGGAGUCCUCUUAGAAUGAGAAGGGAAAAAGGUCUGAUUAAUCUCUGCUCCAGAAUCCCAAUAUAUAAUACCAACAAAUUUAUAGCUUUAAAU